rnacentral:rRNA from 1 species
GACGAACGCUGGCGGCGUGCUUAACACAUGCAAGUCGAACGGAAAGGCCCCCAUCUUGGUGGAGGUGCUCGAGUGGCGAACGGGUGAGUAACACGUGGGUGAUCUGCCCUGUACUUCGGGAUAAGCUUGGGAAACUGGGUCUAAUACCGGAUAGGACCAUGGUUUAGUGUCUCAUGGUGGAAAGAUUAUUGUUUUGGUGCAGGAUGAGCUCGCGGCCUAUCAGCUUGUUGGUGGGGUAAUGGCCUACCAAGGCGUCGACGGGUAGCCGGCCUGAGAGGGUGGACGGCCACAUUGGGACUGAGAUACGGCCCAGACUCCUACGGGAGGCAGCAGUGGGGAAUAUUGCACAAUGGGCGCAAGCCUGAUGCAGCGACGCCGCGUGGGGGAUGACGGCCUUCGGGUUGUAAACUCCUUUCGUUAGGGACGAAGCCGCACUUUUUUGGGGUGUGGUGACGGUACCUUUGUGAAGAAGCACCGGCUAACUACGUG